GAUGAACGCUGGCGGCGUGCCUAAUACAUGCAAGUCGAGCGAACAGACGAGGAGCUUGCUCCUCUGACGUUAGCGGCGGACGGGUGAGUAACACGUGGAUAACCUACCUAUAAGACUGGGAUAACUUCGGGAAACCGGAGCUAAUACCGGAUAAUAUAUUGAACCGCAUGGUUCAAUAGUGAAAGACGGUUUUGCUGUCACUUAUAGAUGGAUCCGCGCCGCAUUAGCUAGUUGGUAAGGUAACGGCUUACCAAGGCAACGAUGCGUAGCCGACCUGAGAGGGUGAUCGACCACGCUGGAACUGAUACACGGUCCAGACUCCUGCAGGAGGCAGCAGUAGGGAAUCUUCCGCAAUGGGCGAAAGCCUGACGGAGCAACGCCGCGUGAGUGAUGAAGGUCUUCGGAUCGUAAAACUCUGUUAUUAGGGAAGAACAAAUGUGUAAGUAACUAUGCACGUCUUGACGGUACCUAAUCAGAGAGCCACGGCUAACUACGUG
rnacentral:rRNA from 1 species